CUGUACAGUUCAGAGUUUGAUCCUGGCUCAGGACGAACGCUGGCGGCGUGCUUAACACAUGCAAGUCGAACGGGGUCCAGCGGAGCUUGCUCUGCGAAGACCUAGUGGCGAACGGGUGCGUAACACGUGAGAAACCUACCCCGGACUUGGGAAUAACAGUCGGAAACGACUGCUAAUACCGAAUACCUUCACACCAUCGCAUGGUGGAGUGAAGAAAGCUUUUGCGGUUUGGGAGGGUCUCGCGGCCUAUCAGCUUGUUGGUGAGGUAACGGCUCACCAAGGCAUCGACGGGUAGCUGGUCUGAGAGGAUGAUCAGCCACACUGGGACUGAGACACGGCCCAG
rnacentral:rRNA from 1 species